AAUAGAUACCCUGGUAGUCCACGCCGUAAACGUUGGAUACUAGGUGUGGCGGUUAUACCAAUGACUGCCGUGCCGAAGCUAACGCGUUAAGUAUCCCGCCUGGGGAGUACGGCCGCAAGGCUAAAACUCAAAGGAAUUGACGGGUCCCCGCACAAGCGGCGGAGCAUGCGGCUUAAUUCGAUGCAACCCGAAGAACCUUACCUGGGUUUGACAUCACGGGAAAAGCUGUAGAAAUACAGUAUCCAUUAGGGCCCGUGACAGGUGGUGCAUGGCUGUCGUCAGCUCGUGUCGUGAGAUGUUGGGUUAAGUCCCGCAACGAGCACAACCCUUGUCCUAUGUUGCCAGCGGUUCGGCCGGGGACUCAUAGGAGACUGCCGGGGAUAACUCGGAGGAAGGUGAGGACGACGUCAAGUCAUCAUGCCCCUUAUAUCCAGGGCUGCACGCAUGCUACAAUGGCCGGUACAACGGGCAGCGACCCCGCGAGGGUGAGCGAAUCCUAAAAAGCCGGUCCUAGUUCGGAUUGAAGUCUGCAACUCGA
rnacentral:rRNA from 1 species